rnacentral:rRNA from 4 species
AAAUUGAAGAGUUUGAUCAUGGCUCAGAUUGAACGCUGGCGGCAGGCCUAACACAUGCAAGUCGAACGGUAGCACAGAGAGCUUGCUCUCGGGUGACGAGUGGCGGACGGGUGAGUAAUGUCUGGGAAACUGCCUGAUGGAGGGGGAUAACUACUGGAAACGGUAGCUAAUACCGCAUAACGUCGCAAGACCAAAGAGGGGGACCUUCGGGCCUCUUGCCAUCAGAUGUGCCCAGAUGGGAUUAGCUAGUAGGUGGGGUAACGGCUCACCUAGGCGACGAUCCCUAGCUGGUCUGAGAGGAUGACCAGCCACACUGGAACUGAGACACGGUCCAGACUCCUACGGGAGGCAGCAGUGGGGAAUAUUGCACAAUGGGCGCAAGCCUGAUGCAGCCAUGCCGCGUGUAUGAAGAAGGCCUUCGGGUUGUAAAG